GAGCUAGAGCCCUAAGGGCACCAAAACCCAGCUGGUCUUUCUGACUCCAUGAGGCUCAGAGCAAAGCCACUUGCUUGCUUCACACCUUCAACAACCUUGUAUUAUAGUCAGAGAGUGAGACAGGAAGAGUGGGAAGGGCACAGAAGCAGGGCUGGAAAAGCAAGAAGGAAGGAGGAGGGAGGAGAGGGCAGGCAGUACUAUUGUGGGUGGCUUAGCGCAACACAAGAUC
rnacentral:lncRNA from 1 species